rnacentral:rRNA from 1 species
GACGAACCGUCCAAACGUUAUUCGGAAUCACUGGGCUUACAGAGUUCGUAGGCGGUCUGGAAAGUUGGGUGUGAAAUCCCUCGGCCUAACCGAGGAACUGCGCUUGAAACUACCAGACUCGAGGGAGAUAGAGGAAAGCGGAACUGAUGGUGGAGCGGUGAAAUGCGUAGAUAUCUGGAGGAAUACCGGUGGCGAAGGCGGCAUCCUGGACCGACAUUGACGCUGAUGAGCGAAAGCUAGGGGAGCAAACGGG